rnacentral:rRNA from 1 species
GUGCCAGCCGCCGCGGUAAUACGGAGGGGACUAGCGUUGUUCGGAAUUACUGGGCGUAAAGCGCACGUAGGCGGAUUUGUAAGUCAGGGGUGAAAUCCCGGGGCUCAACCUCGGAACUGCCUUUGAUACUGCAAAUCUCGAGUCCGGAAGAGGUGAGUGGAAUUCCUAGUGUAGAGGUGAAAUUCGUAGAUAUUAGGAAGAACACCAGUGGCGAAGGCGGCUCACUGGUCCGGUACUGACGCUGAGGUGCGAAAGCGUGGGGAGCAAACAGGAGGAUAUACCACUGGAUUAC